rnacentral:rRNA from 1 species
GACGAACGCUGGCGGCGUGCUUAACACAUGCAAGUCGAACGGAAAGGCCCUGCUUUUGUGGGGUGCUCGAGUGGCGAACGGGUGAGUAACACGUGAGUAACCUGCCCUUGACUUUGGGAUAACUUCAGGAAACUGGGGCUAAUACCGGAUAGGAGCUCCUGCUGCAUGGUGGGGGUUGGAAAGUUUCGGCGGUUGGGGCUAGACUCGCGGCUUAUCAGCUUGUUGGUGGGGUAGUGGCUUACCAAGGCUUUGACGGGUAGCCGGCCUGAGAGGGUGACCGGCCACAAUGGGACUGAGGGACGGCCCAGACGCCAACGGGAGGCAACAGUGGAGAGUAUUGCACAAUGGGCGGAAGCCUGAUGCAGCAACGCCGCGUGCGUGAUGACGGCCUUCGGGGUGUAAACCGCUGUCUCCUGUGACGAAGCGUGAGUGACGGUAAUGGGUAAAGAAGCACCGGCUAACUACGUG